rnacentral:rRNA from 1 species
GAUGAACGCUAGCUACAGGCUUAACACAUGCAAGUCGCGGGGCAGCAUGGGGGUUGCUUGCAACCCCUGAUGGCGACCGGCGCACGGGUGAGUAACGCGUAUCCAACCUGCCCUUCACCACGGGAUAACCCGGCGAAAGUCGGACUAAUACCGUAUGUUGUCCAUUGACGGCAUCCGAUUUGGACGAAAGUCUUGGCUGUGAAAGGAUGGGGAUGCGUCCGCUUUGCUUGACGUCGGGGUAACGGCCCACCGUGGCUACGAUCGGUAGGGGUUCUGAGAGGAAGGUCCCCCACACUGGAACUGAGACACGGACCAGACUCCUACGGGAGGCAGCAGUGAGGAAUAUUGGUCAAUGGGCGUAAGCCUGAACCAGCCAAGUAGCGUGCAGGAUGACGGCCCUAUGGGUUGUAAACUGCUUUUAUGCGGGGAUAAAGUGGCCCACGUGUGGGCUUUUGCAGGUACCGCAUGAAUAAGGACCGGCUAAUUCCGUG